AUCUUCAGGGCGAGGUGCAAUUCCUCACCGGCGGUAAAGUCCGCGAGCCGAUAGGCAUGAACCGGUGUGAUUCCGGUACCGACAGUAAAGUCUGGAUGAGAGAAGAU
rnacentral:ncRNA from 1 species